rnacentral:rRNA from 1 species
GAAAGCCUACGGGGCGCAGCAGUGGGGAAUAUUGCGCAAUGGGGGCAACCCUGACGCAGCAACGCCGCGUGAUUGAAGAAGGCUUUCGGGUUGUAAAGAUCUUUAAUCGGGGACGAAUUUUGACGGUACCCGAAGAAUAAGCUCCGGCUAACUACGUGCCAGCAGCCGCGGUAAUACGUAGGGAGCAAGCGUUAUCCGGAUUUACUGGGUGUAAAGGGCGUGUAGGCGGGCAUGCAAGCCAGAAGGGAAAUCUGGGGGCUUAACCCCCAAACUGCGUUUGGAACGGAGU